ACUGUCUUGUCUUCUGUGUUCUGUUAUAACAUUCUCAAAAGUGUGGUUGAUCUGUUCACUAUAAAUGUCUAUGGCAAAUUAUGAAGAACAGUCGGAUCGUUUAACCUAUGAUGUUUUCCUCAGUUUUAGAGGAGAAGACACGCGGGAAAAUAUUGUUGGAUAUCUUCUUGAUGCAUUUCAGAAGAGGGGAAUCAAAGUUUUCUAUGAUGAUAAAAGUCUGAAAAUAGGGGAAGAAUUGUCACCUGCAUUUUAUAAAGCCAUAGAAGAAUCUAAUAUCUCUGUUAUUUUUUUAUCUGAGGAUUAUGCAUCUUCUAAGUGGUGCCUUAAUGAACUCGCGAAGAUCAUGCAAUGUACCAAAAGAAACAAGGAACAAAUUGCUUUUCCAAUAUUUUACCAUGUUGAUCCAUCGGAUGUACGAAAUCAAAGAAAGAGCUAUGGAGAAGCCAUGGUUGCUCAUGAGAAGAGGUUUGGAAAAGAGUCAGAAAAAAUAAAAGCAUGGAGAGCAGCAUUGUCUGAAGUGGCAGACUUGAAAGGUCACCACAUCCACACUGGGUAUGCAUCUAACUACAAUUCUGUUAUUAUAUAAUCUUUGUGUUGUGUACAAUUCUGUUAUAUAAAUGUGUAUUUAUUGUCAUUAGAACUUUAGAUGUCCUCUGUUGGAACAAAGAGUACAUUCGAUCCCCGCAACUGUGAUCGGGAGGGGCUGAAAUCACUUGAUGUUAAAACUGACCCCUAAACCAGAUUCAACUGGUGGUAAAAGCCAAAAGAAAAAAGAAAAAAAAAAACAGAGCACGAUAUUGUUUAGUCAAAAAAGAUGAAAGAGCAUAAUGUGUGAAUUGAAAAUAAAAUAUCGAGUCCCACAUCAGGUUCUAGAGUAUACUAGCAUGUGUAACAUACUAACGUGUAUUUUGGAAAAAUAAAUAAAUUAAGUCCACAUCGAUAAGAUUGCGCACUUUAUUUAUUUUAUUGUGAUUUAUUUUCCAUCAAUUUGUAACCGUCAAGUUUAUGAGAAACAACCCUAGUUGAGACAAUAACAUCAGCUGCCGUCGGAUAAAACUGUGGUGGUUCCAAAGUGUCACUUUUUUGGGUAGAGGGAAAUAACCAAUAUAAUAGCAAUGAUUCUAGAAAUUUGGUCAAAUUCCUUAUGACCUUGUUGAAAGCAAGAAAGGGAGUGUGAGUUUAGAAGAAAAUAAAGGUUUGACUUUGCGACCUAUAUGCAAUGCAGGAAUAUUUUGGUAUGUUCUCUGUAUUAGCAUUGGUUCAAUCUUGCUUCAGGGUAAUUAACAUUCAAUUGUGAAUUGUUAAUAAGCCUGAGUUCAAUUUCUUAUUGUUAAUAAACAUGUUAAACGAUAACACUGUUUAUGUGUAUGCAAUUGAUUCUCAUCAAAUGAUGUAAAUGCAUUGAACAAACUAUUGAAUCUUAAUGCCGUUGCUGUUACUGGUUUGGGUGAUUUAUUAUGAAUUCACACUUUAGAAUUUGAUACUAAAUAUGGAUUUUCUUUGUAGAUAUUAAGUUUGAUAUGUCUAUAUUGAAUUUGCUCUAUUGUGUUGUUAGACUUUUAAUUUUAACAAAAAUAUUUGCUGUAUAUGAGCAUGUUUCAUGAGUUGAAAUUUUGAACAAAAGAGAAACGUGAUUAUUACUAAUUUGGUUUGAAAGUAUCCCUAGUUCCUUUGAAAUUAAGAAUGGUCAUAGUACCAUAAUUCCUUUGAUUUAAGAUUGGUCUUAGUACCAUAUUAGAAUGACAUCGUGCCAUUAUAUUGAUUGAUAUUGUAGUAUCAAUAUGGGUAAUAGGUUGAUAAUGUAGUACCAUUCAAGGUGUAUUUCUUGCCCGAUUUCUAGUGCAGUAGCAAAUCGGUAUACAAUUGUUCGUGGUUGAUAGUCUGCUUACACAAUUUUGGACAGUGCCGCGAAACGUUUUAAAAAGAGCGAUCUAGUCUACUACUCAACCCAAUAAUCUCUUUGGUGGUUGAAAAAUUAUUUUUUAACCGUUUUUAAAAUUUGGUAACAACCGUCUCCAUUAAGCUAGAAUUGUUGAUAAAUUUUGAGGUAUCAUCUCCGGUAUAUGAGAGUGGACGGCACAUAAUUAAAUGAUACUACCAUCAACUCUAAAUUACACAAAUUAAGAUAAAACUAAAAGAGAAAUUAUUAGUUAGUUUAUAAUAUUAUUUUUUUGACGGAAGUUAGUUUAUAAAAUUGAUAACUUGAAGAAUUGAAAGAAGAUAUCGUCGUAAUUUUCUAGUUUAGGCCUUCCAUGUUAUUAAAAAAAAGUAAUAAAUAGCUAUGAGUAUAAUAGGAAAAAUAAUAUUAAAUAUGUUUAAUUGAUAUUGUAACGUGAUUUAUAAUUUGGUACAAUUUUUUCCUUAAAACAACUUAUAAUUUGGAACGGAGGUAAUAUUAUUUUAUUCUAUGUGCCACUGUCUAUAAAAUGAAACCCUCAAAUAUCGUAGAGAAUACUAUGUCGUAAAUUUGAGUGCAUCGAGUCUCAUUAUUCUCAACAUAGUAUCAAAAUCGAGUCUAAUUAUAAAAAUAAGUUUUAAAUAUAUUUUUAGUCCCUUAAAAUAUAGCGAAUUUUAAUUUUAGUCCCUAAACAUAAAAACUUCCUCGUCCUAAAUUUUUUAGUUGUAUUGUUAUUUGUUCCUAAUAACUAAUUUUUGUUCAUGUUAUUGUCAAAGGUAUAACUCUUCCAUGUUAAAUAUGUGUUCAUAUUAUGUUUAUUUAUUAUGCCAUGUUCAUAGUAUGUUAAAAAAAUAUAUCAAAAAUAUGUCCAUAUGAAACCAAAAACUAAAGUAGAAAAUUUUGGAAGGAUGAAAAUAUUUCAAAUUUAUUUUUACGAACUAAAAUCAAAAUUCGUUAUAUUUAUAGAAGCAAUGCUUAUUUCAAUUUGCUUUUGUUGAAAUAGUAGUAGCUAUUUUCUAAAUUCUAAUUAUCGAUGACAAAACAUAUUAUUAACCAAUAAUAUAUUUUGUUAUUGAAUUUAUGUUUCUAGAAAGAAAUAAUCCCUGUAAAAAUAAUAAUGUGUUGUAUUUUUACAGGUUCGAAAUCGAUCAUGUUAAAGAGAUUGUCGAAAAGGUCCAUGCUAAGAUACCUCCUAAAUCUUUAUUUGAUGGUGAGAAUCCAGUUGGACUUGAUCAACGCAUAGAAGAAGCGAAGUCACUUCUAGACUUGAAGCCAAAUGACGAUAUUGUAUGCAUGUUGGGCAUAUAUGGACUUGGUGGAAUAGGGAAAACAAGUCUUGCCCAAGCAUUGUAUGACAAGAUUAGGCACCAAUUUAAAGCUGCUUGUUUUCUUGCCAAUGUUAGAGAGAAAUCAAACAAAAUCAAUGGCUUAGAAGAUUUACAGCUGACACUUUUAUCAGAGAUGUUUGAGCAGUCAGAUUCUAAGUUGGGAAGUACAAGUAAAGGAAUCUAUGAAAUUAAACACAAGCUUGGAAGGAAAAAGGUUCUUUUGGUACUUGACGAUGUUGAUGAGAUGAAACAAUUGGAAAAUUUGGCAGGAGGAAGUGAUUGGUUUGGUCCAGGUAGUAGGAUCAUUAUAACUACAAGGGACAAAGGUUUGCUCAUGGGUACUCAUCCAAUAGAAGUUAAGACUUAUGAGAUGAUUGAACUUAAUGAUCAACAUUCUCUUGAGUUGUUUUGUAGAAAUGCCUUUGGACAAAGCAAUCCUAAAAUAGGAUAUGAAGCUGUGUCUUCUCGUGCCGUUGGUUAUGCAAAAGGUCUUCCAUUGGCUUUAAAAGUUAUAGGCUCCAAUUUGGCUACUAGAAAAAGUUUAAAAGCUUGGGAGUCUGCAUUGAAAGAUUAUGCGAGGAUUCCGCGUAAAGGGAUUCAAGAUGUGCUUAAAGUAAGCUAUGAUGUGUUGGAGUCUAAUGCUCAAAGUGUUUUUCUAGAUAUAGCUUGCUUCUUCAAAGGGAAAAGAAUAGAAUAUGUUGAAGAAAUACUAGAUGAAUUCAGUGCAGCAUCAAAUAUUGAAGAGCUUGUUAAUAAAUCUCUCUUGAAUGUUGAUAAUGGAUGCUUGAAUAUGCAUGAUCUAAUACAGGAUAUGGGUAGAGAGAUUGUUAGGCAAGAGGCACCAAAUAAUCCUGCAAAACGUAGUAGAUUAUGGUUUCAUCAAGAUGUCAUUGAUGUAUUAUCGACCAACGAUUCAGUAAGCAUCAAAUCAUCUGUACUUCUCAUUUAUACAUUACGUUGAUGCAAUUCACUUUAUCUGUUUUUAUUUGUUUCAAAGGGGAGUGAUGCAAUUCAAGGGAUAAUGCUUGAACCUCCUGAAUAUACAACAGAAGUAUAUUUGGAUGAUUAUACUUUUGAGAAGAUGAACCGUCUCAGAAUUCUCAUUGUUCAAAAUAUAACUUUUUCGUCAGAGCCUAAACAUCUACCAAAUCAUUUAAGGCUACUUGACUGGAAGGAAUACCCUUCAGAAACUUUCCCACCAAAAUUUUAUCCGAGAAAUAUCAUCAUCUUAAAUUUGCCUUAUAGUCAACUUACAAUGAAUGUGCCAUUUAAGGUUAAAUCAAAACUUCCUUUUAUUUAUUCUUUUCAUUUCAUUUUUACAUAUAACAAUAACUUAGUUUGAUUGACUAUUUUUUAAUUUGUUCUUCUGACAGAAAUUUUCAUAUCUGACUGUCAUGAAUUUCUCACAUAAUCAAUCUAUCACAACAAUGCCUGACGUAUCCAAAGUUGAAUGUUUGAGACAAUUGCAACUUGACCGUUGUGUGAACUUAACUAUGGUUCAUGAAUCCAUUGGAUUUCUCAAACAUCUUGUCCACUUAAGCGCUUCGGGAUGCAGUCAACUUAGAAACUUUCCGCAAAGAAUGUUCUUACCAUCUCUAGAAGUCCUUCGACUUAAUGAUUGUCGUGAACUUAAACACUUUCCAGAUAUAGUGAACAAGAUGGAUAAACCAUUGAAUAUUGAUAUGACCAAUACCUCUAUUGAGAAGCUGCCAAAUUCCGUUGGUAAUCUUAUUGGACUUGUUUCAUUAAACAUGCAAUGGAGCCGUAAACUCGAAUAUCUACCAAGUAGCUUAUUCACGUUACCAAAUGUUGAAGCUUUAUACUUUUUUGGAUGUUAUGAACUUGGUACUUUCAGAAGAUUUCUACCUGAUAGCCCUCCAGAUGCCAAUGAACGUUCAACAUCAAAAAGAAUGCAUUCUGGAAAUAGAAUUAUUCUUUUAAAUAAAGAUAGUGGUUUGUCAGAUGAAGAUGUUGAAGCUUUUAUGUUUAAAGUGAUUUUUAGGUAAGAACUCUUACUACUUGUUUUCCUUUUAUGAGUGGGGUAUAAAUCCUACUUUAUGUUGGAAUCGUUAGAGUUUUUUGUGGAGUCUUGUUGGGUCUCGUUGUCAUGAAGUUAUUGAUGGUGAUGAGUAACAAACUCAUGAUAGAGAGCAAAACAGAGAGAAAAGAAGGAAAAACUUCUUGAUUAUUGUAUUGAAUGAAAGUAAUUAAGUUUGCUUAUAUACAUGAAACUAACUCUAACAAAUUGUAACUAACUUUGCCAGCUAAGCAAGAGUCAAUACUAAACUAUGGUAUCCUCACUAUAGUUACCAUACACCACUAGCUUGUUGUAUAAGCAAUCUCCAAGCAGCUAUAUGUUUAACACCCUCCCUCAAGCUAAACAUGAUAAAUGUCUAACAUGUUUAGCUUGGAUAUAAAAGAUAGAAAAUGAUGUAGGAAGGGGGUUUAUUUAGCAAUUUAAUAUUUUUGCCAGUUUAUUAUUAUUUUUCCCUUUGUUAAUUUCGGCCCAUUGGAGUUUUGUCUUUUCCCUAUUUAAGCUAAACGGUUGUAGACUGACAGUCGGUUUUUUCAUUCAAUAAAAAUAUUUGAGUUUCAUCUUGUUAGAAGUCCCACAUUGGCUAAAGAUAUGGCAUAGAUAGCCUUUUGUUGUUUGUUGUGGAGACCUCCCAUAUUGGGGUCACUUGUUGUUGAUUCCACGUUCCAACUUGUUCAGUUCUGGACGUGAGGGGGUGUGUUAGAAGUCCCACAUUGGCUAGAGAUAUGGCAUAGAUAGCCUUUAUAAGUGUAGUGCAAACCUCAACUUUUAAGCUAGCUUUUGUGGGUGAGUAUAGGCCUCAAAAAUUCUAAUACAUCUCAACCUUCGGUGGACUCCAAAACCCUAUUUUGACAAGUUUGUGCUGGCGGCUUGUUAUUAUCAUUUAGGUUUUUAGCGUUUUGCUAACCUAGUGCUUCCGUUCUGCGUAAGUUAGCAUCAGAGCAGGGUUUUUAGCGUUUUCCCCUGUUCUUUCAUAAAGUGAUCAGAUGGGAGAUCAACCGAUGACGAAAGCAGCGUUUGAUGCUGCCAUAGCGGCUUUAACCGCGGCCAUCACCGCUCUGACAACACAGGUGACAAAGUUAUCCAACAACAACAACGUUAACAACAACAACCGAAUCAAUUUGAACAUGGGAGGAGGUCGUGGAAACAAUCAUAUGAUGGAUGAUUCGAAUUCAGAAGAAGAGGAGGUCGUGACUGAAGAAGGAAACGAUCGUGGCAAUCACCAUGAUUACGGCGUGAAAGCAGAUAUUCCAUUGUUUUAUGGAACGAUGGGAGUAGAGGAAUUUUUAGAUUGGCAAAUUGAUGUUUACAGAUUUUUUUGAUGUCAUGGACGUCCUUGAGCACAAGCAGGUUAAGAUGGUGGCAAUCAGGCUGAAAAGUACCGCCGUUGACUGGUGGGACAAACUCGUCGUUCAAAGGCAUAGAAAAAAUCCCAUUCGAACUUGGUGGAAGAUGAAACAAUUGAUGCUUGAGAGAUUUUUACCUGAAGAUUAUGAACAAAUUCUGUAUAAGAUGUAUAUUGAAUGUGUUCAGGGCAAGCGAUCAGUGACAGAAUAUACCGUUGAAUUUCUGCGUUUUUCAGAACGUAAUGAAAUGGGUGAAGCAAAUCUCCAAGCAGCCCUGUGUCAUGAAGCAAAUCUAGGCAAUAUUUUCUCUGACAAAUAGUAAUUCCAACUUUGGAAUGAGCUACCUCAAUCCCUAGAAAGUAUUUUAAUUGACCAAGAUCUUUAAUUUUAAAUUGUGUGUCUAACAGAUGUCAUCAACAUAUACUAGUAGAGCAGUAAAUUUGUCUCCAUACAUACAUCCUCUUGCAAAUCUCCAUGUAAGAAAGCAUUAUUUACAUCUAACUGAUGUAAAUGCCAAGAGUUUAUAGCAGUUAAUGCAAUAAGGGUUCUCACUAUAAAUGCCAAGAGUUUAUAGCAGUUAAUGCAUCAACAAAUAUUCAUGUUUUAUUCUGUUGUAAAGCUUGAAGUUCAACAUUCAUAGCUUUAACCUAACAUAUUCUUGCAUACUAGCUUGGUGAUAACUGACUGGCUCAUCAUCAAUGGUCAAGGACAAGGCAAACUUGCUAUGAGAAGCAGACAAGUUAGCACAAGAAUGAAAAUGAGAGAUAAGAUAAGAAAUACCUGGAGAUGAUGGCAACACUGAACCUGUAGAGAGAUUGCAAACAUAGUCAAAUAAGUGUGUUGGUCUAUGUGUAGGUCUAGCAGAUCUUCUCAGAUGAUCAUUGUUAGGCAUAGGAUCAGUGUCACCAUGAUCUGUAGUAUGAUCAUUGGUGGCACUAUCAGGGUCAGUAGUAAGUAAUGGUGAAGAUGGAUCGGUGAUAGGGGAAAUGGAUGGGGUGGUAGAUAUAGCUGCUUUGUCUUACCUGUAGUGUCAUGUUGGUGUGCCUCGUUGUUUCUUUGUAGUUUUUUUGUCUUUUGUUUUUUUGGUGGAGUGUACUUCUGGUACCGAUUUACUUUUCUGAUUUUUCUCUUGUAUGUUUCUUAUUUUUAUAUCUAUAUAUAAUAUAUUAGUCAUUAAAAAAAAUAAGAUAUUGAAGCAAUUCUCACAUGUUUUCCAAAAUUAGAAGAAUUGAUUGUAUCAUAUAACAAUUUGGUCUCUCUCCCAGCGUGCAUUAAAGAGUCUAAUCACUUGACAUUUCUUGAUGUUAGUUGGUGUUAUGAGCUUCAAAAAAUUCCUUAAUGCACCAAGUUGAGAAUUCUGGAUGUCAGUUAUUGUCCCCCAUGCACUAUUCGAUUUUUUUCAGAGUUGCCAUGCACUAUUAGAUAUUUUGUCCCCUUUUUCCCUACACACACGUCGGUUUUUGUCCCUUCAGAGAGAUAUUACGGAAAAAAAUUUGGGAGAGGGAUAUUGUUGGAAUUUUAAAGGGGCAUGGGGGACAUUUUGAGAAACAAAUCGCACUAUUCAGAAAAUAGAUGCUUCAACUUUUCUUUGGAGACGUCUGACAUGCUUGUCCUAAAUUAGUUGACGCCUUUAUUUUGUGAAUAUAUGCCUUUAUUUUAGACUUCAAAAAUUUAUCUGUUUGGUAACACAAAUAAGCUAGCUUAUAGCUUAUUAUAUGAGUUUAUAAGCUUGUUUCAAAAAAUUAGAGGUGUUUGGUAACAAGUUUUUUGUACUAGCUUAUAGCUUUUUUUCAGAUGCUAUUUCNNNNNNNNNNUACCAAACACUUUAAUUUCAAUAAGCUAGCUUUUCAGCUAUCAGCUAUAAGCUAGCUUUUCAGCUAUCAGCUAGCUUAUCAGCUAUCAGCUAGCUUAUAGCUUAUUUUUACCAAACAGACCCAAGUGCACUUUCUUCUCUAUUUUCAAAAAAAUAAAUUUUGAUCUCCCAAUUUAAAUUUUUUAGAAUUUUGGUCUCAUUUUAUUUUUGGGUCAUAUUUUAUUGAUGUGACAAUAUUAAUUUAGGAAAAUUCUAUAGUACAUUUGAAAUAUUUUAUAAAAGAAAAAAAAAAUCUAUCAUUAAAAAUAUUAUAAUAACUAAAUAUUAUUUAGUAAAACUGUUAAAAAUAUAAAAUUUGAGAUUUUUUUGAAUUUUUAUUCAUCAUAAUAGUCAAUAUAGAAUUUUUUAUGAAAAAAUGUUAAAAAUAAAAUAAAAUAUUAGUGCGAUGCUUGCUUAUAAACAAUUUUCUUUUUUCUUAUGAACUUAUUAUCUCUAAAAUACAAUAAUCGGCAAAUAUUUUUUGAUAAAUAAAUAUAAUCAUUAAAUUAUUAUUUUAAUGACUUAUUGUACCGGUACAUUCAAAUUUUAAGAUAAAAACGACUAAUUGACAUAAUAACAGAGGUGUAAUCGUAGGUAUAGCAUGAUCGUAGAGAUGAUUUUCUGUCAGCAAAGGUAUUUGAUGUCCGUUUGCCCCAAAAAAUUAGUUUCUUAGUAUUGCUAUAUGUGCAAAUAAAAAGGGUAGCAUUGGAAAAUGUGACGAAUAGAUGUUGUCAUAUGUACUAUUUAUAAGUUUAAUACUAAUACCUUACGAAUCAAACAGACUAUAAGAAUGAGACAUGAAAGUUAAAGCUUGUUUGUGGUUCAAAAUUAGUAUCAGUUUACUUUUAUAAUGUAUUUCAUGCGUAGUUCGUUUGUGGGUCAAAAUUAACUCUUUUAUAAGGUUUGCUUGCUUGCUUUAUAUAUCAGUCACAGGGUGCAACAUGGACUUUAGAUAUAAAUGAUACCGAUAUUUUGGUUUUUGUAAUAUGACAGGUGAAAAACGAGAGACGUGGAAUAGAGAUUGUGAUGCCUCAAAUGCAAACUGGGGUUCCGAAUUGGUUUGACUACAGCUGCAAAGGAGGAAAUCCGCGUUUUUGGGCUCGUAAGAAGUUUCCUGUCGUUGCUUUAGCAUUGGUGUUCCAGGGGAUAACUGGGAUGACCAGACAAUCUCGGCAUCUACUUGUUGAGCUUCACUUGGUUAUAAAUGGUCUAUGUGUCUUUCGGAAAGGCUAUUACAAUUUCAGAAUUGAACAAAAUCAUGUGUUAGUUUGUGAUUUGCGACUCUUGUUCAGUGACGAGGAAUGGCUGGGCUUUGAUGCAUUGCUUGAGCAUGAGUGGAAUCAAGUGCAGAUUUCAUAUGAAGCGCAGUCCACUGUGACACUAAGUGAUUGGGGAGUAUUUGUGUACAAACAAGGAACCUACAUGGAAGAAUAUGUCCAGUUCAUGUGUCCCGACCCAAAGUACUCACAAGUAGCUGACAUAUCACCCACAGACAGUAGUUCCUCCAAAAGAUCAUAAGCUAGAACAAAUGAAGUUGAUAGAUGAGUUAGCUCUAGAUGAAAUGUUAGCUGGAGUGUUGUCAGAAGCUAGGGACAUGGAAGAUCGCUUUUCAAAAGAUCAUUUGCAAGACCUGCUGGCAAUCGUGAGUGGCAUAAAUAAGGAGGCUCAAGAUGCAUUAGAAGGUAAACCACUAGAUGAUAAAAAUUCCACCCUGGCAUGUAUUCUCCGGUAUCUCAAUGAAUCGCGUGAUGAUAAAGAUGAGCCAACAAGUUUUGACCGUGCAGAGGAAAUAAACGCUGCCAUAGGUGUAGGAGAAGCUUCAACCUCUGGCCAUCAGGGAAGUUCAGAGGCCCAAGACAGCCAUGCUAAGCAGGAUGAAAUAAUGACAAAGAAGGGCCAUACUAAAAGCAAAGUUGAGCUUUCCCACUCAGAAAGAAUGGGAAAUACUAAAUACUGUGUUAAGGAAGGAGGGCCAUAACGUGAUGUUUCAAAGAAUAGAUUGGACUGAAAUAGUGGUUCCAAGCUCUGAAGAUCCUUUGCUGGAAUCAUUCAUGAUGAUGAAGAAAGGAGGUUGUGACUCGGGGAGGGCCAAGAAUAACUCUUCUGCAAGCUGUUGGAGGAACACAAUGCUCUGCACAAGAAAAUUGAAGAAAUUGAAAAGGAAUCUGCUACUACGGAUAAUUCAAAGAAGCGUCACAGCCUUGAUGAGAAGCUGGCUGCUGUUUUGAAAGGAAGAGCUGGAGAAUUGGAGAGGCUCUAUGAUGAUGGAAAUGAAGAAUUCCAGAACUCAAGAGAUACAUGCUUAAUGACAGAUACAUACUUAAAUGGAAUGAGGGAUGGACUCCUUGAAUCACGGGCCAUAUUACUCACUCUGGAAAUGGACAUAAUAACUCGUGUUUGAGGGGAAUAAAAAUGAAAUUUCUACUCAGGAUAAAGAUAGUCAUCUUCUUCCUUUGAAAAAUCAAUAUGGCGAUUUUAUGGAAAAGCUUAACACUCAAUUUACUGAUCCUAAUUCAAAGAAGCAUCAUGCCCUUGAUGGUAAUGAUGAUUCACAAGCAAAGGAAUCAAGCAUUUCUGACUCAAAAUCUUCUUUGAAUAGAACGAAGAUUAGCGCAGACAUUGGAAAAGAAGGCUGCAAAGAGGUUACAAAGCAUAAGAAGCUGGAUGCUGUCUUGAAAGAAAAAGAAGAAGAAUUGUUGAGCCUCUAUGAUGCUGAAAUUGAAGAAUUCCAGAACUCGGAAGAGAUUCAAGAUCUAUUGAGUGCGACAUACUUUAGUGGACUGAGGGAUGGAGUCCUUGAAUGAGGAACACAUUACUCAUGAGGAUUCCAAUGAUGCUUCUGUUAUUGAAAAUCACAAUGAAGCAAUUAGCAUAGCGGGAAUUGUAAGUCCUUCUGGUUUAGAAGCAGACAACCUGCGGGACACUCGUUACCCCUUUGGUUGCUUCUGGAGGAUUUUGUACACUUGUUUUUGUAAGUGUUUCUCUUAGUUGUAUCAAUUUUAAAAAAAAAGAAUAAAUGAUGCACUUAGAUUGCACUUAAUACUAUAAGCGUUUUUCACAAUAAUCAUGCAUAUGACCUUUUUGUUUUCUAUUUUCAUUAUUAGUGUUUGUUUAGAUAAUGAAUAGGCAAUGCAAUUGUGGUUUGUGGGAAGCAACAAGCUUUAUCAUACUCCUAUUUUCAAAGUCGUUUAAUCUGUAUGAAAAUGCUUUAUCAUUCUCCUUGAAGUUUUGUUUUCUUUACUUUUUAUAUAAAUAGAACUCUUUAGUGCUUUCACUAGUGUUAUAAAGUUUAAGAAUGUUUUAGAAAUUGAUUUUAUUGGUUUAUCAAUGGCAAGGUUUAUGUGACUGGAUGAAACAUGUCAGUAGUUCUAUAGUUUGCAGGUUCUUUCUCAAGCAAUGCUCCAUACAUCAUAUCAAUAGUUCUAUUGGUUUACUGGUAAUUCAAACUACAUCUNNNNNNNNNNNNNNNNNNNNNNNNNNNNNNNNNNNNNNNNNNNNNNNNNNNNNNNNNNNNNNNNNUUACCAAUUUACAUGUUAUUAGAGCUAGUUGGUCAUGGAGUGUCUAUUGUACCUGGAAACUCUGUUUUUGAAGGGAGUGUGCAUUAGUGGUCACUGGUCCGGAACAUAUUUACUUGGGAAGCUUUUCAAACAGUCCGGUGUAUCAGGUGAUGUUUCUGCUACUUCCUUGUAAAUCUGAAUUAGGACUUGUUUGUAUUGCCUUAUUUGAACCCAUUUGAUUAAUGUGGGCCAAAUAAUUGAAAACACUGUUGACAAUUAAUAAGCACGGUCGACUAAUGAUGCGUCGACAAUGAUAAGAGCACACCAUACACUCGUAUCAGAUUCAUGUUGAAAUAAUUGAAAACAAGGCCGAUGGUCAAUAAGCAAUUAAGCUUUGUCAAUGCAUGAUGUGUUGACAAUGUUUAUUCACUGUAAGAUAUGAAAACUUUUCACACUCAAUAAAUAGGAUUUCGCUGUUCAAAAAACUUUUUGUCCGAUUUGUGGGUAGAGUACUAUUUGUACUUUCUUCCACUUAAUAAAUUUUGUUUUUCUGUUCAAAAAAUAAAAAGUUUAACAUGUUCUAUUCCUAUGAUUGCUUUUGCAACCAAUCUACUAUCGUUUCCAAGAAUAUGAACGAAAAACUUCACAAGAUUCUCUCAAGAACCUAAAUCAGGGGGACUCAAUAAAGGCUUGGGAAUUGUGAUCCUCUCUAUUUGAAGAGAGAAAAGACACGGGUUCUACCAAACUCAUUUUUGUGUUUACUUCUCUCAGAAGUGGAGUUAUUUAUUAUUUUAUUUUUUGAAGAAAAUGAGAGGAUUUUGAUCUUGGUAGUUGAAAGUAGGGGUGUAUAAAAUUUGGUUCGUUAGUGAGUUUGGCUUAGCCUACAAGUAACGGAUCUGAUCAGACCCUGAUGAGACCCUAAUUCGAAAAAAUGGGGCAAACACUAACCACGGGAUUGAUUUGAUUCGGUGGAAGGUGGAUCGAGAUUGAAACACUAUCCACCAUCCACCCGAGUCUCCUCUCAUUAGUUUCUGAAGACUCGGAGUUUUUAUCUUGGGAAGAAUAUUGAUGCACCUUUGUUGAAAAUUUGAAUACGUACAACAGACCGAACAACUUUGUGUUUUAAAUUAGCUAGUUGAAUUUAUUUUAUUUUAUUUUAAAGCUAAAAAUAUUAUUUCUUUUAGGCCCACCCAAGAAACUUCAUACUUGCUUCGCUGAUGAUAAGAUAUAUAUAGUUGAUAGAUUGUGCAAAAAAUACUAGUUUCGCUUAGAAAUUUAUAAGGUAAAGGUGUUUUCUAUUCGCUUUGUUGGUUUUGAGAGUUUUGCAAUUAAAACAAGAACAAUAAAAUAAAUGACAGAUAAAUAAAUAUCAAUUAAAAUAAAAAGGGUGUGCGAGUAGAUGCAUGAAGUGGUUAAUUGUUUCGAAUCCCUCUCUUAUUCCUAGCUGGUAGCUGGCGUUAUAUUUUACCUCACUAUUUGUUAUGAUCUAACGGAUUAAUUUCUAUUAAAACAAGUUCAGGUUUACCAUUCCUUAUUUCUAUUGUAAUUUGAAUAAAGUUUAAUCAACCGCUGAUUGAUUUCCCUCUUGUUUUUAUAGUAUCUUUAUCCUUGAGUUCAACGUUUAACAAGUUCUCUUGUUUUUAUAGUAUCUUUACCCCUAAGUUCAACGUUUAACAAGUCAUCAUGUGUUCUCCUACCUUUGUUUGAUUAACCCUAAACAUGCAGAAUUUAACUAAGUGUAAAUCUUAAUACUACCCCCUUCCUCAAGUACUGAAUUUUAUGGUCUCAUGUUGGUCGGUUGAAUGGUCUUUAGGUUCGGGCCUAUUAGUCUGUUGUCACGGGAUCAACUAAUUUCUAUGAGAUCAUUCUAUAAUUUGAUCAUGAUUAAGAACAGAGAAUUAAAGUAAGACAAUUAUAGAAAAUAACUAAAUAUCAAUCGAAUAUAAACUUGUUUGAACCAAAUUAUAUGUCUCAUGCAUUCAUAAGGGAGUUCAUCUACUCGACCUAACCUAGGAAAAUAAUAUUACAAAAACAAUAAAAGAAAAGAACCUUAUUGCCUCUGAGUUCCUUAGCCCUCCUUGUCUCCUCCUUAGAGUUCUUCUAACUCUACUUGAAUAUUGGAAUAACUCUCAAUAUUUCUGAAUGAAUAAUUAUGAAGGAGGAGAACUCUAUUUAUAGUUUUUCAGUUGGAUUUGGGCUUUUUGUUGUGCUGCAUCGUAUCCAUCAUAGCCACGAUGAAUCUUAUCGUGGUACGAUGAAGAUUUGCGCUUCAGAUUUUCUUGAUUUGUUUAACCGCCUUCAUCGUGCUGCGAUGAGUCUCAUCGUGGUUACGAUGGUGCGCAUUUUAUUCGAUUUUUGCCAUUCUUUUUAUGCUUUUUCCACUUUUUUUUCUUCUUGGUCAAAUAACUUCAUUACUCUAGGUAUUUGCAUGCUUUUGGUCUUCAAUUGCUACUAACACUGCUAAAAACUACUCUAAAAUAGUACUAAAAACAUCAUAUAAUUGACUAUCAUCAUGUGGCAGAAGUAAAACUCUUUAAUAUGUGUCCAUCAAUCAGUUUUAUUUUCUUUUGGUUGUGGACUUUUAAUGAAUGAAGAGGUUAUAGAUUACUUUUUGGUUUUCCAACUAUAAUUCAUUUUUAUAUACUAAGAAUACUUUACUUUUGGUUGUGGACUUUUCAUGAAUGAAUUAGGAAUUUAGGACCGGUUUUUGAAUUGCCUUAUUUGAACUCAUUUGAUUAAUGAGGGCAAAAUAAUUGAAAACACCGCUGACAGUGAAUAAGCAUGGUCGACAAAUGAUGUGGCGACAACGAUAAGAACACACCAUAUACACAUAUGUAUCAGAUUCAUGUUGAAAUAAUUGAAAACAAUGCCGAUGGUGAAUAAGCAUGGAUUGGCAGAUAUGAAAACUUUUUGCAACUUUUAUAAACAAAUUUAUUUUUUAUUUUUUUUUUCAAAUCCAUUGACAUUAUCCUUUCAAUUAUUUAGCCCUCAUUAAUCACUAAUUUUAUAGGGUCUAGGUUAAGAAGUUCCACAUCGGUUGAGAGAUGGCCCGACUAAGUGUUUAUAAAUCAGAGGCAAUUCUUACCUUACAAGCCGGUUUUAUAGAGUUGAGUUAGGCUCAAUACUCAAUUUUAAGAGUCUACAUGAUUUAAUCUGUUUAUUUUAGUCAUUUAUCAUCAUCAGUCAUCUUCAUUGAAUUUAUAGUCUUCAAUUUCAUAUAGAUAAAAUUUUACACUUGAUCCCUAAUUCUUUCCUUCUUCUCUUCUCUCAGCCGCCACACCAUUUCAUAUUUCUUCUUCUUUUGGCUUAUCAAUUAGAGAAGGUGAUUUAGGAUCAAUCCAAAUUCAGUGUAGAUUCAAUGAUUUUAUCGUCGUCAACAUUACAGAUCCGGAUGCAUUAUUCCAGACAUUUGAAUUUUAUCAUAUCAAUUGUAGGCUUUGUCAAAAAUAUUAGGCUGUUUUAUACUAUUAACUCGAAUAUUGUGAGUCUGUUCAUACAUUUAUCCUUAUUAGUUUUUAGCGAAAUUUAAUAUGAAUGAAUCAAUGAACAUUGUUGUUUUUGUUUUUGAAUAUAUAAAAUAAAAUAAAAUUUCAUAUAGAUAAGGUGGGUAGCCAAGUUGACUCCGAAUGGAAUCUCCCAGUCCCAAGAAACUUCAUACUUGUUUCGUUGAUGCUGUGUGUUCUUAAGUCUUAACUACUUGCAGUAUAAUUGCAGUGGCAUGCGUACACACACAUCCUCCUGUUAAACAUUUGUCGUCUUGUCUUCAGUAGUAUUCUAUUUUCUCCGUCUCAUGACACGGUUAACUAUAUUUCAUUAUUCACACAUAUUAUUUUGACCAUAUUUUUCUACUAAUAAAUAAAAAUAAAUAUUAGCAUAUAAGAUGUUGUUGGAUUCGUCUCGAUGAAUAUUUUCAAAAUAUCAAAUUUUUAUAAUUUUUACUAUAAUAUAAUUAAAAAUAUUAAUCGUCAAAAUUAUGCAUCGGCAUGCGUGAAACAGUCAACUGUGUCACUCAAUUUGGGACGGAGGAAAUAUAAUAACACCGGCAUCCUCAAAAGUGUGGUUGAAACCUUUGUAAAUGUAGAGUUUUAAACAUUUCACUAAAUCUUAUUUAUUUAUAAUAUAAUAUAAUGAAGGGUGUGAAAUAUUUUAUUAAAUCUCAAAAAAAGAAAAAUCAAAUUUAAUAAAUUUAAAAUUGAAUGAUAAUUGAAGAUUUUGAUUUUAGAGGUUAGAAGAAGAUUGAAACAAACAAAACACAUAAAUUUAUAUAAUUUUGAAUAAUAUUUGACCGUACUUUGUUAUAAAUUAGUGAAGAUGAUGAUGAACACGAUGAAGAUAAGUAUGAAUAAGAUAAAUGUUCAUCAUUAUUUAUGGUUUUAUGAAUUGUUAUAAACCUCCACAUGUAUUCAUGUUUUCUAACCCUUCAUUAAUAUGCUACAAAUAAAUAAAAUAAAGUAUUAACUCGUGCGGUUUUAUAAAAAUAAAGGAUUUGGAAAAAAAANNNNNNNNNNNNNNNNNNAAAAAAAAAAAAAAAAAAAGAUGGCCAUACUUGGGAAAAAACAAAGAUAAAUUCAUUGAAAAACUGAUAUGUUUAGUCUAAACUCAUUGACGAAGUUUGUAAUUUCAAGGAGUAUUUGACAUUUAAGUUGUAGUAGGGGUAUUUUUGUAAUUUCAAGAGGCGCACAAGAAAACUUAGGAGGCGGCAAAAGAAAUUUUCUUAUUUUUCUACAAGUUUCAAUUGGGUUCAUCGGCAUGUGUUGGAUCACGAGGGGUACCCGGACCGGGAGAUCAUCCAUAUGACAGUUUAAUUAUGGGUCAUAAAACCAUCGACUCAUUGGACUCAACAAUUAUAUAAGCGAAUUGGACACCACACUGUUAUCCAAAACUUUAAUUAAGGCAUUAAGUUUAUGAUUUUUCUCAUUUAUAAAAUGUUCAACCUUCACUUUUCUGAAUAAUAUUUAACUCACUUCACACUCGCCACAACAUCAUAUUCACAUAAUUGAAAACUAUUCAUUUUUUUUUUACAGUAUUAUAAAUUGCAUUUUCCUCAAUCCUACAGCUCAUAUAGAUAAGGUGGGUAGCCAAGUUGCCACCAAUAGUCGAUAGAAACCUCCCAAGAAACUUCAUACUUGCUUCGUUGAUGCAUGCUGUGUGUUCAAAACUACUUGCAGUAUAUAAUUGCAGUGUGCAUAGUACACACACACACACAUCCUCCUGUUAACAUUACUACUGUCUUGUCUUCAGUGUUCUGUUAUAUUAACAUCCUCACAAGUGUGGUUGAUCGGUUCACUAUAAAUAUCUAUAUAUAAAUAUCUAUAUAUGGCAAAUUAUGAAGAACCCUCGGAUCGUUUCACCUAUGAUGUUUUCCUCAGUUUUAGAGGGGAAGACACACGGUACAGUUUUAUGGGAUAUCUUCUUGAUGCAUUUCAGAAGAGGGGAAUCAAAGUUUUCUAUGAUGAUACAAGUCUGAAAAUAGGGGAAGAAUUGUCACCUGCAUUUUAUAAAGCCAUAGAAGAAUCUAAUAUCUCAGUUAUUGUUUUUUCUGAGGAUUAUGCAUCUUCUAAGUGGUGCCUUAAUGAACUCGCGAAGAUCAUGGAAUGUACGAAAACAAACAAGAAACAAAUUGCUUUUCCAAUCUUU
rnacentral:lncRNA from 1 species